GACGAACGCUGGCGGCGUGCUUAACACAUGCAAGUCGAACGGAAAGGCCCUGCUUUUGUGGGGUGCUCGAGUGGCGAACGGGUGAGUAACACGUGAGUAACCUGCCCUUGACUUUGGGAUAACUUCAGGAAACUGGGGCUAAUACCGGAUAGGAGCUCCUGCUGCAUGGUGGGGGUUGGAAAGUUUCGGCGGUUGGGGAUGGACUCGCGGCUUAUCAGCUUGUUGGUGGGGUAGUGGCUUACCAAGGCUUUGACGGGUAGCCGGCCUGGGAGGGUGACCGGCCACAUGGGGACUGGGAGACGGCCCAGACGCCUACGGGGGGCAGCGGUGGGGAAUAUUGCACAAUGGGCGGAAGCCGGAUGCAGCAACGCCGGGUGCGGGAUGACGGCCUUCGGGUUGUAAACCGCUUUCGCUUGUGACGAAGCGUGAGUGACGGUAAUGGGAAAAGAAGCACCGGCUAACUACGU
rnacentral:rRNA from 1 species